rnacentral:lncRNA from 1 species
AUUACUCACCUAGAUGAGGGCUACAAGUUGAGCCAAAAAUCACGACCUAUGGUGGCCGGAGGACGGAGCUCCGGCGAAGACACAGUCGGCGGUUCCGGCGGCUUUUUCUCCUCUCCGGCGAGUUAGAGGCUCGGGGGCUAGGCCGGGGAGGGAGAGGAGGUGACGGGGGUCCGAUCUGGGCUGGAGCGGCGGCAGCUGGUGGCCGGACGGCGGCGGGAGGCGGCCGGAAGUCUGCCGGGUGUAGAGAGAAAAACUCGGGUGGGAAGAGAAGAAAAAUCGGGAGGAAGAGAGAGAGAAAGGAAGAAGAAAUGGGUUGGGCUCGGCCCAGCCGGCCCAACUCNCCUUUUUAACCCAAAAAUUCCAAAAUUUAACACCCCGAAAAAAUAAUACCCGAAUAAAAAUUACCUUNNNNNNNNNNNNNNNNNNNNCCAACUCCGGCAACCUGCAAAUGCCACCAAAUUUUAACAGAAUCUUCCUCUCAAUCUCCUCUACAACUUUCAUGACCAACACAAACUCCAAUUCUAAGCCUAACCAUGUCAAUCGAACACAAACAACCAUAAAUCCCUAAAACUUUCAAUUAUACAAACCACCCUAACGAAAUCGAAUUAAGCCGAAACCUUUUGAGGGAUUACUCACCUAGAUGAGGGCUACAAGUUGAGCCAAAAAUCACGACCUAUGGUGGCCGGAGGACGGAGCUCCGGCGAAGACACAGUCGGCGGUUCCGGCGGCUUUUUCUCCUCUCCGGCGAGUUAGAGGCUCGGGGGCUAGGCCGGGGAGGGAGAGGAGGUGACGGGGGUCCGAUCUGGGCUGGAGCGGCGGCAGCUGGUGGCCGGACGGCGGCGGGCUGCGGUGGCGAAUUUUUUCCGGGUGGAGGGAGAAAAACUCGGGUGGGAAGAGAGAGAACGGGAGGGAGAGAGAGAGAAAGGGAAAAGAAGAAGAAAUGGGUUGGGCUCGGCCCAGCCGACCCAACUCUCCUUUUAACCCAAAAUUCCAAAAUUUAACACCCCGAAAAAUAAUACCCGAAUAAAAAUUACCUUUUACUAGCUAAAAUUUACUAUUUUUACCGUCGUCGUAUUUUCCUCAUACGAAUAAUCCUCCACACAUAAUCGUCCCCGAAACCCCUCUAGGGACCAAUUAAACUAUUUACUCAAUGAUCGAGACGGUAAAAUUCUUAUUAUAAUCACGCUAGUAAAUAAGGUAAAAAUAUAAGGGUCGGGAUGUGACAAUUAAUUGUAAUAUCCCACAUCGGCCAAACAGAGCGGGGGGUUAUGUGCUGUAUAUGUACAUGCCCACCAUCAAUCUAACACGAGGCCUUUUGGUGGCUCAGCGGCUUCGGAGGGGAUGGGUACUCCGAGGUUAAGCAUGUUGAUGCUAGAGCAAUCCCAGGAUGGGUGACCUCCUGGG